rnacentral:rRNA from 1 species
AUUGAACGCUGGCGGCAGGCCUAACACAUGCAAGUCGAACGAGUGGCGGACGGGUGAGUAAUGUCUGGGAAACUGCCUGAUGGAGGGGGAUAACUACUGGAAACGGUAGCUAAUACCGCAUACCAUCAGAUGUGCCCAGAUGGGAUGAGCUUGUUGGUGGGGUAACGGCGCACCAAGGCCACGAUCCCUAGCUGGUCUGCGAGGGGGACCAGCCACACUGGAACUGGGACACGGUCCAGACGCCUACGGAGGGCAGCAGUGGGGAAUAUUGCACAAUGGGCGAAAGCCUGAUGCAGCCAUGCCGCUUGUAUGAAGAAGGCCUUCGGGUUGUAAAGUACUUUCAGCGGGGAGGCGUUACCCGCAGAAGAAGCACCGGCUAACUCCGUGCCAGCAGCCGCGGUAAUAC